UGGGGAAUAUUGCACAAUGGGCGAAAGCCUGAUGCAGCGACGCCGCGUGAGGGAUGACGGCCUUCGGGUUGUAAACCUCUUUCAGCAGGGACGAAGCGCAAGUGACGGUACCUGCAGAAGAAGCACCGGCUAACUACGUGCCAGCAGCCGCGGUAAUACGUAGGGUGCAAGCGUUGUCCGGAAUUACUGGGCGUAAAGAGUUCGUAGGCGGUUUGGCGCGUCGUUUGUGAAAACCAGCAGCUCAACUGCUGGCUUGCAGGCGAUACGGGCAGACUUGAGUACCGCAGGGGAGACUGGAAUUCCUGGUGUAGCGGUGAAAUGUGCAGAUAUCAGGAGGAACACCGGUGGCGAAGGCGGGUCUCUGGGCAGUAACUGACGCUGAGGAACGAAAGCGUGGGUAGCGAACAGG
rnacentral:rRNA from 1 species